rnacentral:rRNA from 1 species
AUCGAACGCUGGCGGCAGGCUUAACACAUGCAAGUCGAACGAGUGGCGGACGGGUGAGUAAUGCUUGGGAAUCUGGCUUAUGGAGGGGGAUAACGACGGGAAACUGUCGCUAAUACCGCGUACAAUAGGAUGAGCCCAAGUGGGAUUAGGUAGUUGGUGGGGUAAGGGCCUACAAAGCCGACGAGCUCUAGCUGGUCUGAGAGGAUGACCGGCCACACCGGGACUGAGACACGGCCCGGACUCCUACGGGAGGCAGCAGUGGGGAAUAUUGCGCAAUGGGGGCAACCUGACGCAGCCAUGCCGCGUGAGUGAAGAAGGCCUGCGGGUUGUAAAGUUCUUUCGGUGACGAGGCGUUAAUCACAGAGAAAGCAACGGCUAACUCCGUGCCAGCAGCCGCGGUAAUAC